AUUGAACGCUGGCGGCAGGCCUAACACAUGCAAGUCGAACGGUAACAGGAAGCAGCUUGCUGCUUUGCUGACGAGUGGCGGACGGGUGAGUAAUGUCUGGGAAACUGCCCGAUGGAGGGGGAUAACUACUGGAAACGGUAGCUAAUACCGCAUAACGUCGCAAGACCAAAGAGGGGGACCUUAGGGCCUCUUGCCAUCGGAUGUGCCCAGAUGGGAUUAGCUAGUAGGUGGGGUAACGGCUCACCUAGGCGACGAUCCCUAGCUGGUCUGAGAGGAUGACCAGCCACACUGGAACUGAGACACGGUCCACACUCCGACGGGAGGCAGCAGUGGGGAAUAUUGCACAACGGGCGCAAGCCUUAUGCAGCCAUGCCGCGUGUAUUAAGAAGGCCUUCGGGUUGUAAAGUACUUUCAGCGGGGAUGAAGGGAGUAAAGUUAAUACCUUGGCUCAUUGACGUUACCCGCAGAAGAAGCACCGGCUAACUCCGUG
rnacentral:rRNA from 1 species